AACCCAUGGUGAGGGCAUCAUCUCAAUAAGUCCUUAUGCCUUUCUCAUGCAUCAUAUAGGGUCUCUAAGUCGGUUUGAACGAAUGAAGAUAUAUCAUUCCUUAACUU
rfam:Gossypium hirsutum cultivar TM-1 unplaced genomic scaffold scaffold1842.1, whole genome shotgun sequence